AUAGAAGUACUUGAGCAAGUUGUCUCUCUGGACGUAGGUGCCUCCAAGGGCGGGCCUGAGAAGCCUCAUUCUAAGCAAAAGCAAAUGUUUACUGUAGGCAAGUGUGAUUAUGCUGGAGGAGGAGAGAAGAAGGACAGAGCAAGGGACACCAUGCUGCUCCGAAGCAGCAGCGAGGCUCGUCCCGCUCAGAUCAACACAGUUGGACCAGGACGAGUUAUGAACUUAUCUUCUAAUUCAGGCAAAUGCUUACAGCGCAUUGAAAGAAGCAAAAAUAUCAGAGAGACGUACUCCUUUCCUGAAAUGCACUGAUGAGUCUAGCGGCUCACUCUGGAUCCACUGGAUGGAGCGUCACCGGCCAAACCCCUUGUAAGGAAGCCCAUUAAGGAACCCAUCAAUAUUUCAUCAUCGCUCACUCAGAAACAUAGUUAUAGAAGUUUCCAGGCCGGGGCCAUUAGGGGGCAGACGUCAAUACGUUAUGGCAGCGAGCAUCUCUCUCCACUUCUUCUCCCUCUUUCUCAUGCCUCCUCCUCUCAAGAGCAGUCAUCGGAGAGGCUUUCUCAAGAAGACAGUGGUUUCCGCUUCUUCUACAUUAAACAAAUCAUUAACCAUUAGGUAUCCAAGGAGCACAAUAUCCUUUCCUGCUCCUGUCAAAUGACCCCCGCCCGCCAAGUGCUGCUAUUAGUCUCAGUGAGAAGAAGGGAGGGAGACUGGGGGGUGAGGGGUGGUUGUUUGUAAAAGCUGUCUUAAGGUAACAAAUGUCUAGUCACACAGAAUACAAACACCUAAUUAACAGUGUGGCAUGAUUGUAUAGCCUAAUGUGAUGUAGACAGGCAGGAACACUCUUUAGAAACGCUUUUGUUGUGAGACUUUUGACUCAUGUCUGUAAAAAGACGAGUCUAGCGCCUUCAACUCAGUGAGUGGACACUAUGGCAAUCAUCAAGAGGACAAACUCGCUGUCUCACACAAA